CUACGGGUGGCAGCAGUGGGGAAUCUUAGACAAUGGGCGCAAGCCUGAUCUAGCCAUGCCGCGUGAGUGAUGAAGGCCUUAGGGUCGUAAAGCUCUUUCGCUGGGGAAGAUAAUGACGGUACCCAGUAAAGAAACCCCGGCUAACUCCGUGCCAGCAGCCGCGGUAAUACGGAGGGGGUUAGCGUUGUUCGGAAUUACUGGGCGUAAAGCGCGCGUAGGCGGACUGUUAAGUCGGGGGUGAAAUCCCGGGGCUCAACCCCGGCACGGCCUUCGAUACUGGCAGUCUGGAGUUCGAGAGAGGUGAGUGGAAUUCCGAGUGUAGAGGUGAAAUUCGUAGAUAUUCGGAGGAACACCAGUGGCGAAGGCGACUCACUGGCUCGAUACUGACGCUGAGGUGCGAAAGUGUGGGGAGCAAACAGGAUUAGAUACCCUCGUAGUC
rnacentral:rRNA from 1 species